UUAGGCCUUGACAUACUAAGAACUUUCCAGAGAUGGAUUGGUGCCUUCGGGAACUUAGAUACAGGUGCUGCAUGGCUGUCGUCAGCUCGUGUCGUGAGAUGUUGGGUUAAGUCCGCAACGAGCGCAACCCUUUUCCUUAUUUGCCAGCGGGUAAUGCCCGGGAACUUUAAGGAUACUGCCAGUGACAAACUGGAGGAAGGCGGGGACGACGUCAAGUCAUCAUGGCCCUUACGGCCAGGGCUACACACGUGCUACAAUGGUCGGUACAAAGGGUUGCUACCUCGCGAGAGGAUGCUAAUCUCAAAAAGCCGAUCGUAGUCCGGAUCGCAGUCUGCAACUCGACUGCGUGAAGUCGGAAUCGCUAGUAAUCGCGGAUCAGAAUGCCGCGGUGAAUACGUUCCCGGGCCUUGUACACACCGCCCGUCACACCAUGGGAGUUUGUUGCACCAGAAGUAGGUAGUCUAACCGCAAGGAGGACGCUUACCACGGUGUGGCCGAUGACUGGGGUGAAGUCGUAACAAGGUAAGCGUAGAUGA
rnacentral:rRNA from 1 species